GGGUAGUUUGACUGGGGCGGUCUCCUCCUAAAGAGUAACGGAGGAGCACGAAGGUUGGCUAAUCCUGGUCGGACAUCAGGAGGUUAGUGCAAUGGCAUAAGCCAGCUUGACUGCGAGCGUGACGGCGCGAGCAGGUGCGAAAGCAGGUCAUAGUGAUCCGGUGGUUCUGAAUGGAAGGGCCAUCGCUCAACGGAUAAAAGGUACUCCGGGGAUAACAGGCUGAUACCGCCCAAGAGUUCAUAUCGACGGCGGUGUUUGGCACCUCGAUGUCGGCUCAUCACAUCCUGGGGCUGAAGUAGGUCCCAAGGGUAUGGCUGUUCGCCAUUUAAAGUGGUACGCGAGCUGGGUUUAGAACGUCGUGAGACAGUUCGGUCCCUAUCUGCCGUGGGCGCUGGAGAACUGAGGGGGGCUGCUCCUAGUACGAGAGGACCGGAGUGGACGCAUCACUGGUGUUCGGGUUGUCAUGCCAAUGGCACUGCCCGGUAGCUAAAUGCGGAAGAGAUAAGUGCUGAAAGCAUCUAAGCACGAAACUUGCCCCGAGAUGAGUUCUCCCUGAGACUUUAAGUCUCCUGAAGGAACGUUGAAGACGACGACGUUGAUAGGCCGGGUGUGUAAGCGCAGCGAU
rnacentral:rRNA from 1 species